rnacentral:rRNA from 1 species
UACGUAGGUGGCAAGCGUUGUCCGGAUUUACUGGGCGUAAAGGGCGUGCAGGCGGUCUGUUAAGUGCAGGGUGAAAGCUCCCGGCUCAACUGGGAGAGGUCCUUGCAUACUGGCGGACUUGAGGGGGGUAGAGGAAAGUGGAAUUCCCGGUGUAGUGGUGAUAUGCGUAGAUAUCGGGAGGAACACCUGUGGCGAAGGCGGCUUUCUGGGCCCUACCUGACGCUGAGACGCGAAAGCGUGGGGAGAGAACCGG